AUACGGAGGGUGCAAGCGUUGUUCGGAAUAACUGGGCGUACAGAGCGUGUAGGUGGCAUUAUAAGUCAGUUGUUAAAUAUCACAGCCUAACUGUGAAACUGCGAUUGAAACUGUAAAGCUAGAGGGCAGAAGAGAGCAGUGGAAUUCUUGGAGUAGCGGUAAUAUGCGUAGAUCUCAAGAGGAACACCGAUUGCGAAGGCAGCUUCUUGGUCUGUACCUGACACUCAAAUGCGAAAGCGUGGGGAGCAAACAGGAUUAGAGACCCCGGUAGUCC
rnacentral:rRNA from 1 species